UCGAGAGUUGCCCAGCCAGGUCAAAGGCGCUGGAUUCAGAGUCCAGUUUCGUAGGAAUUCGUGCGUUCGAAUCGCACCUCUCGCA
rnacentral:tRNA from 1 species